rnacentral:lncRNA from 1 species
AAAAGAUCUAAUUUCUACAGUUUUCUCUCUUCUCUCUCUUAGAUAGAUACAACAUCCAUUAAAUACCAUUAGGGUUCUUGAAUAAUAGGCAUUUCAAGCUAUUUGAAGGUAUAAUUUAAGACAAAUUAAGGAGGAUAACCUUUACCUUGAAGAAUUCAAGUCUUAGCAAGUGGUAGUUAUGUCCAGCAAGGUAACUUACUGCAAUAGUCUCCCUCUUGUGCUUGAGUUAAUUAGGACACUUGGUAUGUGUUAGUGAGUUGGAAAUUAUUACUUUUACAUAGUAAAUUUUGGACAGUAUGUUCUGCUGAUUAGUGUAUGUUGGGACAGCUAUGGUGGGGAGUCCUCUUUAAAUUAAGCUAUGAGAUUUUUUGAGCACUUUAAAAGUCAUGUUAGCUCUUCAAGUGCUGGUGAUCAGAAACCAUGAUUCAUAUUGCUUCUAUUAUAUUAUUAUGUUCAAAGAUUGUUUUAUAUAUGUUAUGAUAAGAGAUAUAACUGGAAGUGCGAUGAGUUUUGGGGAGAACCUGAUACGAAGGUUGUAUAGUAUAUAGAAGUGAUUAAAGGGAUAGGGAAAGAAAGAAAACACUGGCUAGAUAGAUUGCAGCUUAUUGCUUUGUUACUAUUUAGGUGUUAUCAAGUGGUUCAAUUUGAUUGAUUAGCUACUAAUACUAGUCUUACAACUUAUUUUAUUGUAGAUUAGUGAUCAUAAGAGAAGUAUCUGAAGUAAUACAUUUUGAAUUGUAUAGCAGGGUAUGUAAGGCUAUUUGAUUUCCUAUUUCUUAGGCAUGAAUACAAAACAUGCAAUACAAAAAUAAGCUUUCUAAGUGCCCUUGGUAGCGACUGAUCCAUAGUUGCAGUUCCUACUCCCUAGAGCAUUGAAGUGUGUACUCUUAUGUGCGUCUUUACCCUACCAAGUGUUAUCAUGCACGAUUUAAACUUGUUUCAUUGUAAAAGUACCCCUAGCACGUACUUCCAUUAUAUUAGUCCAAGCGAUCCUAGAUGACACAUGGUACAUAUGUUAAUAAGAUGGAUAUACAAUCUGCCCAUAUCUUGCCAACUUGCUUCAAUUGCUUAAAGAUAUGUCAUCUUGUCACACGUUCAUAUGUUCCUUUUCUUGUUUUUACUCCCAUUGUGUUAGACAACAAGACUACCUCACAUGAUCACUACUUUCUCAAUUGUAUGUUUAUAUGUACUCACUUGAAAUAUAUAUCGGUCCUUAAGUUGAAUCUGCCCUAUGUCCCCCUUUGUUCCAUAUGCAUGAACAUCUCGUAUCUGUAGCAUAUAGAGUUCAAAUCUCUUGGCUGAAUGUUAAAUUGUCUUCACUGGAUGUGCUUCAGUAUGUGAUGUCAAAAUUCUUAUCGAGUCAUAUAAGCUCCUAAGUACUACGUUCAAGUCAUAUUUGCUUCCAAUGUCAUUAUUAUUAUCAUAAGUCCAUAUUCAUAUGUCUUGUACUACUGGUUCGUAGUUCCAAAUCUAAAUAAGGGUUAUGACCACCAAAACAAUAAUCAUAGACAAGUUCUAAACAUCUAAAAGUACAAUCUCAAACGAGUUAUGAUUAUCUAAAGAACAAUCCCAAGAGAGUUAUGAACUAAUAAACAAAACUCCCAAAUAUGAAAGACUCUAAGUGAAGUAAUCAGUAUAAUUACGGGUGGCAUCUCAGGGGCAAAAUCCUAGGAUGGGCCGAUCUCGAUUGAUAUGGAAGAGUGGAAACUCAGGGGCGAAAACCUAGCAUGGGCCAAUCCUAAUUUUUAGAAUUAUGAGGAUAGCAUCCCUGGGGUUAAAAUGCGUAGCAUGGGUCAUCCUCUUCUACCGCUGAUCAGCUGUGAUUUGUAUCAUAUGUUGUAUAAAGAUUAUAAAGUACAGAAAAGCAAAGAAAAGAAUGUAACAUGCACGAUUCCACAAGUACAAAGAAAAGGUUGUCUCUAACCCUUAUCUAUUGGUAUUUGGUUUUACUUGACCUCUCAUGUUACAUAUGGUUGUAUUAUGUCUUACAUAUUCAGUACAUUCUUUCGUACGUAAGUCCCUUAUUGGGGACGCUGCAUUUCACGCUGCACGUACAAGUACUCAACUUGUAGAUUUUUCCAAUAGAAGCACAUUGUACUCAACGAAUCUUGGUGAGCUCCAGGUUGAUUCGGGGCUUUGUCGAUUCUUUACUAUUCAUAUUUUCAUAGUGAUACCAUCACGGAUUCCAGUAGAGGCUUUGUAGACAUUGUAAAGUUAUCAUCUGUAUUCAUAAUUUCUCUCGUCACAUAUAGAGGUUCAGCUAGUCAAAAUGUGUCGUAUACGAAGCUUCAUUAGUAAUUUGCAUUGUAGUUUACUUUCUUAUCGUAGAAAGUAAAACAUGUAUUCAUGAGGUACUUGUCCGCCUCACCUAGGGUUGGGGGUGACAUAAUGAGUCUUUAAUGAACUAAUAUAUGUAGUGACUUAAAGUUAAGAAAGCAUGUUAAAUGAAUAAGUACUUACCAAUAGUAGUUAAGGGUUGUCUAGUUAAGGUGUGAAGGGGCCAUAGGAAUGCUCACUUCGUAUCUUACUUAGAAAAGUCUUAAGAAUGACUCUAGUUGGGGAAGAUAUUGAUUUUGUGCACAUGAUCUAAGUCUUAGGUAGUCUUAGGGAUUAUUUAGGUAGUCUUGUAGAGGUCAAAUAUGUACGUUAUCUUCUUGAUUUACUUAAGUAUUUUAAUAGACUUUGGAAAGAGAAUGUCAUAUUGUCUAUUUGUUGAUGUAUUAUGAGUCUGUGUUGAUCUCAUUUAAGGUGGUCUUAAGUAUAAUUUAGGUGUGCCUAGAGAUGUUGUAUGGGCAGUCUCUCUUUGUAUUAUUUUAGUGAGUCUUAGGAUAGCUUUUAGUGAGGGAAUGACAUGCUAGAUAGUGCGUAAGAAGAGGUCAAGAAAAUUCAUUAUAAUAGUAAAGAAGUUCACUGUACAUUGAAGUGAUUCAAUGUUAUGUUUCCAGAAAAUGCAUUAAAUUGAUUAAAUGAUUUCUUAUACGUUUCUAAGGUAUUAAAUGUUAUUCAUGUCAUUAUGAUAUGAUAUUUAAAAGGAAAUGAUUCACAUUUCUAAUAAAUGUUUGUUUACAUGAUUUUAUGCAUUAUGUCAUAGUUAGUACAAGUGUUCGUACUAAUUCCAUUCAUUUUGUUAUCUCGAAUGGAAUAGGUGAAAGGUGAGAGGAUCGUGAAGGAGAGUUUGGAUUCUAGAGUCGUUCAAGCAAAUUUGAAGUAUGUCCUUAAUUGAUUAUUUCUAUAUGUUGAUGUAUGGGCCGUGUCCCAAGUAUUUUGUGUCUACGCUUUGAUGAGAUUGAGACUUAGUAAUAUUUCUUAUGACUUUUAUAUGAAAGCGUUUUUAAAGACUAUAGAAUGUUUAUGAAAGUUUUAAUUCCGCAAUACUUUUCAUAUGUUUUAUAUGCGAUGAACGAUAUGGAAGGGCUUCUACAAGACCUUCGAGAGGUCAAGUACGCUGGUUGCAUUCCGAGAAUGACAUAUCUUCUAGGGUGUGGUUUCGAGAUGUGAUAAGAUUGGUAUCGAUCAUAGGGUAUGAAAGUUGUCUUAGGAAUCAAAAAGACUUAUCAAGUCACUUCUAGUAGAGUGCUGACCAUCAGUGUCUGUCAUUACACAUAUAUGGGCGAGAGUCUAUAAGACGAUACAAUUUUCUUUCUUUUCUACUCCUAAUUCGUGUCGUAGAGUAAAAGUUAUUUUUACUCUUUUCUAAUGGUUUUCCUUGUGUUUCUACGAAGAUGAAUACGAGAAAGAUACCGUCUAGGAGAGUUGAGAAGAAUGAUAAGCAUAAGGAGAUUUCUCCUAGAGUUGAGCAAGUUCCUCAAGGUGUUCAAGUUGCCCAAGUACCUCCCCAAGGUGAUCAAGUCCCUAAUGUGGAAGGAGGUAAUGAUUUUCCGGUGGUUCCCCCGGAGUUGAGUAAUAGUGAUAUUAGAGAGGCUUUGCUUGCCUUAGCCCGAGACAUAACUACUCAAGCGAAUUUGAAUAUGGUGCCUAGGGUGAAUGUUGAGAGAGAACUAUUACGUCUAGGUUGAGAGACUUUGUGAGGAUGAAUCCUCCUAUCUUUCAAGGCUCUAAGGUGGGAGAGGAUUCCUAAGAGUUUCUAGAUGGUGUAUACAAGGUGUUGAGUUUUAUGGGGGUUAUGUUAAGGGAGAAGGCGGAGUUAGGUUCGUAUCAAUUAAAGGAUGUUUCUCAAGUGUUGUACACUGAAUGGAUGGAUUAGGCCGGUAGAGUCGGGUCCUAUUGACUGGGAAGAAUUUGAGGAAGCUUUUCUUGGAAAGUACUUUCCCUGUGAGAGGAGGGAAGUUUAUGUAGAAGAGUUUAUCAAUCUCAAGCAAGACAAUAUGAGUGUUGAGGAAUACUCUUUUAAGUUCGCAAUGUUAUCUAGAUUGUCCCAUCACUUGUAUCUAAUACAAGGGAUGAUAUGAGUAGAUUUGUGAUUGGUGUCGCCGAUCUAGUGAGGAAAGAAUGUCGUACGACCAUGUGACAUGAUGAUAUGACGUUACCUAGACUCAUGCAGUAUACACAAUCAAUAGAAGAGUCUAAACUUGGGAGGAUUUCUAGGAAUUUGAAAAGAAGUGAUUCAAGUAAUCAAGGUCAACUUAGAUUCAAGAAUAGGGCUCAAGGUCAAAAAGAACCUAGGAGUGCUAAGGUGAAAUUAGAGAAAGGAGGUGGUUCUCAAAAUGGAAAACCUACACGUGACACUUGUGAAAAUAAGCACUAUGGGGAAUGCUUAAGGGGUACCGUGAGUUGCUUUGGUUGUGUUAAAGAAGGACAUCAGUUGGGAGUUUGUCCUACUAUUGAGGCUAGAGAAAGAAAGGGUAAACAAGUUUCUCCCAAUGUUCCAAAGGAUGAUGCUCCAAAUAACAGGUGUUCCUAUGCACUCUGGACUAUAAAGAUCAAAGACGGAUGAGGAUGAGGAAUGAUGGUAAGUUUUUGUGUUUCUUUAGUGAUAUGAGUUCCUUAUAAGUGGGGGAGUAUGGGGAGUAAAGGAGUUUUGAUUUGUUGUUUCAUCUUUUCUAUUCAACUCAAGCUGUAGAGUAGAAAGUCAUAGAAGUAUGUUGCAUGUUGCAUUGUUGUUAGGGGUCUUGCUGAAAUUGAAUUUCAUUGAUUCCUUGCAUUGUGCAUUUGAUGAAGUUAUGAUUAUGUUGUAAGGUGUAUUUAUGUGGUUAUACAUUGUAUAUUAGCAUGUUUCUAUCAUGAAUUGCUUAAAAGUUGCACUUUUUGAAAUAUUUGCAUUAUUCGUUGUAGCUUGAAAGUUCACUUUGAGAAUUUCGUAAAUUUGACUAAUUUAUUUUUUGGUCUAAAAUUGUUGUAGUAUGGUUAGAACUGAUUUAUAUGAGAAUUAUAUUGAUUAUAAAAUGAGGUUUUACUAUUUGGAAUGAAGGAUGUGAGUUUUAUAACAUAAUGAGUUGUAGAUUUGUUUCUAGUUUCAUGUUGGUGUUGUGAUGCUCUUGAUUUUGUGAAAUUGAUGUUUUCUUGAUGUUUGAAUUGUAUAUGAUGUUAUAUGGUAUGGUCAUGAUCUGUUAAGUUGAAUCUCUUUCUUGAAAAUGUUCGGAGAGUGGUUAAGUUUCAUUCGAGGAUGAAUAUUGUCCAAGUGUGGGAGAAUGUAAGAUCUCGAAAAUGGCUUAGGUGAAGCUAGAGCCUUACAUAGUUGUAAUGAUGGUCUAAGUUCCUAAAGUUAUCUUUAAUGUGGUAUUUAGGUAGUGUCUAAAGUUUUUCUUGCAUUUUAAGUCAAACGUCAAGGGACGACUAAGACGUUCGACGACUAAGUAACCUGUGUGCCUCAUAUGCAAUUAUCUACCUAAUUAUGUGUUUCAUUAGUUAAUUAAGGCUCUUUAAUGAAUUAUUAUGGUGUUUAUUGCCAGUGUGUCAAGUUUCGUGAAUUUUGGAGGUCAAAAAUCCAAGAACGUCCAUGACUUUCAAAAGACUUGCCCUGAAAUGACCUUAUGUGUCUAUGCAUGUUUUGUUGAGUUUUACGUGUUCGUUUUGGAUGAAAUGGAUGUGGUAGGUCCUAAACUUGUAUACGAGCAUGUUUGGGUUGCAAACGCGGUGAAAAUAUCCCCAAGGACCAUCCAAGGGUCCUUGAGGAAGGACCCACGUUGGUGGCCAGGACUGCCCAAGACUGCCCAAACCACGGAGGUAAUCAAUGCCCAGUAGGUCAGUCGACUCCCCUUAGGUGAGGUAUCGUAGAUGAACACAUAGGCAUGGGGAAGGAGAGGCCAAAGACCAGCCUUAGUCCCAGACCACAGACCAGCAAGACAGUAUGUUGGUCAAGGGACGGGCCUAAAUUCGCCCCACAAUCAAAUAAGAUUUAGGGAGGUUACUUAGGGGUGUUUUGGGUAUUUUAAAUAUGUUUAUAAGUCUAAAAUACUUAGAAGAUUUCAUUCUUUAAAAUCAAAACCGAAAAACCCUUCGAAAUUCUAUAGAACUCCAUUGGAGCAAAAACUCAAGGAAGGGCUUAGAUUGGAGAAUUGAGUGGAGAUUCUUCAUCAAAUUGGAGGAUUAUCUUUAUUGAGGUAAGAUUUUUUAUCCUUUAAACUCUAUUCAUCAAGGAGACCACCUUUCAAACAAGUUUUCUAAUAUUUUCAAAGACGAAUUGUCCAAUUUUAUGAUCUAUCCACGGGUUCUUCUAUUAAAUAUUUUAAAACAUUUUAUAUUGAUUGAAUUGUUGUUAAUUAGAUGAUUUUAUUUCAAUUAACCUAUAAACCCAUGUAAUUGAUGAACACUAGCUUUUGACUACUUAAUGGGUUAAGUGGUUUAGACUUAAUGUGUAUGAAUUCUACUGUAGUUUUCUAUGGACAUUUGAUUAGUGUAAUAAUUAUGUUGAAUUGAUGUCUAUGUUGUGUUAGAUUUAUGAAUAUUUAUUUAAUUGACCUAGUUUCAUUGAUUAUUAUAGUUCUAUAUUGAAUUAUUGGUUAUGGUCAUGGGUAAGGGCCUUAUUGUAUUGAAUUGGAUGGUUUAACAUUGGAUUGAAGUGUUGAGGAUGAAAUGGUGGUACACUGUCCUAAUUCCGUUUAUUUUAUGUUAAUUAGACUUCAAUUAUGUUUUGAUUUGCAUGGUCCACUUAUGGUGGCGGUGUUAUGUGUUUUACUUUGUCACACCCCAACCCUAGGUGAGAUGGACAAGUACCCUAUGAAUACAUGCUUUACAAGUAACCUACGAUGAGAAAGUAAACUAUUAUGCAGAUUACUGAUGAAAAACUUUAUAUACAACACAUAUUGACUAAAUAACCCAUACAUGUGACAAGUAAAACUAUGAAUACAGGUGAUUGAUAGGUUUACAAUGUCUACAAAGCCUCUAUUGGAAUCCAUGCUAUGAAAAUACGCUUAGUAAAGACUCGGCAAAGCCCCGAUUCAACUUGGAGCUCACCAACAACAAUUGACUAUCAUGUGAUUCUAUUGGGGAGAUCUACUUUUGAAUACUUUUACCCCGAUGUAACACUCCAUAUUCUACGUGAACUAGUUCUAUGUAUAUGUCGCUUAAAAAUUUCCUUCUGGUAUAGUCAUAGACUCUGUUUUCUAUGCGACUGGUGACAAUAAAAUAUGUUUGAAGUUGUAAUUCCUCGUGCCUUUUAUGACAUAUACAAAUAAUUGUUUUCCGUGUGAAUGGUGAUAAUAGAAUAUGUUUGAAGUUGAAAUACCUCGUGCCUUUCAACACAUAUCCGAAAAAUGGAGUCUAUAACUAUACCACAAGGAAUUUUUAAUCGACAUAUAGAUAGAACUAGUUCACGUAGAAUACGGGGUGUUACAUCGGGGUAAAAGUUUUCAAAAAUCAGAUCUCCCCAAUAGAAGCACAUGAUACUCAGCUGUUGUUGGUGAUAUCCAGGUUGAUUCAGGGCUUUGCCGAGUCUUUACUAUGCAUAUUUUCAUAGCAUGGAUCUCAAUAGAGGUUUUGUAGAUAUUGUAAAGCUAUCAAUCAUCUGUAUUCAUAGUUUUACAUGUCAUAUGUAUUGGUUCAACUAGUCAACAUGUGUUGUAUAUAAAGCUUUUCAUCAGUAAUCUGCAUAAUAGUUUACUUUCUCAUCAUAGGUUACUUGUAAAACCUAUAUUCAUAGGGUACUAGUCCAUCUCACCUAGGGUUGGGGUGUGAUAAAAGUGGUAUCAAAGUCAUCCUAGGGAGUCUACAAAGAUGUGUCUAGUAGUGACUUAGUUAUGAAUGUGUUGCGCGCCACAUUUAUAAUCAGGGGGCUGCUUUGAAAUUUAGAAAAGUUACCUUCCUUCAUUAUACUGAUCGUGCGAUAAAGCGAAGUUAAGAACCCAAUUUCCAGUUGUACCAAAUCGUGCUAUUCAUAUUAAUUAUGGUUACGGUUAAUGGUUGUUAAGGUGUCAACAUGUGACAUACAAAAAAGACAUCAAAUUAACAAAAGUUUUACUAGAUUGAGCUCAUUUUAUUCGACUAUAUCAGUUGUAAAAGAUUUUAUGUUACUUGCAUCUAAAGUUAUAUCGGUAAAAUUUGCAUCAUGUUGGUUAAAAAAUGAUUUGUUACCUACUUACAUAUAUUUGUUGUAGCAUUUCCAGGCCUAUCUGCUUAGGAGGAUGUAAUAAGCUCUUGAGUUCUAUAUUUCUUCCAUACUUACAGGAUCUAUUCCUAUAAAGGACACUUGUUCUUAGUCUUUGAUAUUACAUCGCAUUGUCAGCGUUACAUAUGUUCUCAAAAUUGAUGUAGUUAAACUAGUUUCUCAAUUUGUAGGUGGAUGUACCAGUGAAAUAGUGUUACUAGAGAUACCCCUAAUUGGUUGGCAAGGUUCAAAUUAUAACCGUAUGUCAUACCAAGUAUGUUAAUGUUUGACAUUUAUAUGGUAUGUGCCAACAAACUCGAAUAAGUACUCAUGACAUUUGUAUUCCGUUCAUGGUUAUAAAACUUAUGAUAAGUGUUCCAAUUGCUGAAAAUGAUAUACGUAUGGCAGUUCAUAUUAUGAUCUAUGUUUUAGCUACAGAGAAUUGGUAUAUGUCUAAAGGUUAAGGUUAACAAAAGGAAAAUCGAUUUGUUAGACCUAUUUUGUAAUUAGUCAGGUUAUACAUAGUGGGAUCAGAGUGCAUGAAGCUACUAAUUUUGAUCAGAAGGUACUUGUUAGAGAGGAAGCAUGUGAGAAUGAAGUUGAGAGUUAGGAUAUGUCAAAUUCCCUACACAUAGGUGGAGUGAUAUGAUGAUAGUAUAGAGGAGUGAGAUAGGUGAAUGAAACAGUGAUUGCUAAUUGUAUGCGCCAAGAAAAUGUUAUUAAUUUUUUUCAACUCUAACGAGUUAUAAUGGUGCACCAUGGAACAACUUUGUAAACCUUUGUUAGAUAGAGAAGUUAGUUUAGUAUUAAUAGAAGUCCUGAUAACAGUAAGAAAAAGAAAGGUGAAUAGAAUGGUUACCUAGAUAGAAGAUACAUGGGACAAGUUUAUCCACAUCAUUAGUAUCAAAGAGAAGUAGAGCAUCAAGCACAUGUAUAGACUUCCAUCAAUAUGCAUGCACUAAUUUAUCAAUCAUAGUCUGGUUAAGUUAGAGGAAAAAUUGAUCAUAUGCUAGUUGUUAUUAUUUGCUAUAUUGCAUGAGAAAAGAGUAAGAGCACCCUUGUUUACUGUCAUAUGUUUUUGUAGGACCUUUCCCUACAUGUUAUUUAUUGCACUGGUUACUUUCCACAUGUCACUUGUCUAUAUUGUGUGGGUACUGCAGGCUAAAUGAUCAUAUUGUAUUGGAAAAAUUAGUGCUCGUGGGUUAUAUUAAUCACAUACCACUUGUUGACAUGUCAUUGCAUCAUAAACCAUAUGUCUUCACUUGCUCAUUUUUCAUGUGUACUCAUUUCCAUAUUAGUCGACCUAUAUAUGCGAUACAACACACUUGCUCAAUGUGAUUUGUGUUCCAUAGUUCAUUUUCUUGUAUGUUUACAUUCAAUAUAGUCUACAUGUAUUACCUUAUGUACUCAUGCAUCAUGUGAUCAUCUAAUCCAUCCUUACAUUCCAUAGAGUUUAUCCGCUCACACACUACCUUACAGCUCAUAUACACACAUACACCAUGUAUUCCUAUAUAUUAAUGCCCGUAUACCUUGUACACUCUCUUUUGGGCUCUUCUGCCAUUGUGUCAUGUCCAAUGUGAGUUAUUCAUCUGCAUACUAUGCCUCUUUGUGCUUACUGAUUUGAAAUCUGAAUAAAAUUCGUCAAAACAGUUCCUUUUAACAUUAUGUUGUGAAGAUUUUGACAAGAAAAUUGGGCAUAUAAUGCCCUAUUCAAAGGUAUGGCAUAAAACUUAAGAUUUUAUAUUAAAAGCUAGGCGAUCUUAUAAGAUGAGCCUCAAAAAAUGUUCAUGAGAUAAAGAUAAGGGAAACUACUUCCCCUAUAGGUUAGUCCCAUGAUUUUAUGUGUCCAUUCCAUAUACAAAAAAAUUGGGAGAUACUAUACUUAUUCUUGAUUGUUAAGGCCUAGAGGCUAAGCUCAAAAUAUGUAACCUCCAUUGAAGUAUUGGGGAAGGAAAAGAAUAUGACAUAAGAUACUUGGGGAUAGAAGAUGGUAGAGAUCCUCUGUAACCCUCCUCAUUCAAAACAUCAAUAGAAGAUGGUAGAGAUGCUACAUAACCCUCCUUAUUCAAAACAUCAAUAUAAUGACUAAGGUCAUGUGGUCCCCUUAUAUGAUCGUAAGUCCUACUAGCAUUUGUUCAUUUGAUAUGUCAUUUGCAUGUCUUCAGCUUAGUAGGUGUAUUGAAUUCUUCAUUUGUAUGAGUUCCAUUUGUGUAUAAUUAUCGUGCUUCAAAUCCCAUUAAGACGGACAGGCACCCGAUUCCCUAAAGGCCCUAUAGAACCAACUUUUAACAUGUUCUUACUAUGCAUAUAACUGUAACAAUUGUGACGAGUUCACAUAGGACACAGAGAUACCAACCAACAUAAGUAGAAUCAAAGUUUUGUACAAGACUUGGCUGUUGAGGCAAGAACUCCUUAAGACACAACUGAACUAUGUAUAUUCGUCUACAAAUCCUCUAAGAAGAUAGAAGACCUAGAGUAGGUUGGGAUAGACCCCGCCUUACCCUUAACUACGAUACAAUAUCAAAAAUAUAUUAACCAAAGACUUAGUAAUUUGAGACUAUACUAUCUUACGCUCAUAUUUCCUUGAUGGAGAUUUAAGAACUGAUCCACAUAGGCCUCUCGAAUCUGCAAUUGCAGAUAAUGAUCAAGGAAUGCCUUUUUGAACUCUUCCCAUGUAGCUGAAGGUGCAUUUGUUCCCCUAGAUUCUUCCAAGCUUCAUACCACAAUAUAGACACACCCUUUAAUCUCUGUAGCUAUCUCAAGUGCUUCUUUACCACUUACAUGCAUAAUAUCCAAAGUGCAUUUGAUCUGAUCUAUAAAGUCUUUACGGAUCUUCAUUAGGAUCUGACCUGGUUAAUUAUGGAGGGUCCAAGUUAAGAAAAUCAUGUAUCCACGUUCCAGCUGCUCUAUCACCAAGAGUACUUGCAGCAAGACCUUGUUGCCUUUGUCCAUGACUAGCAAUUAUACGAGUUAAUAGUUAGACUGCCUUCCUCAAAUCUUUCUCGGUAGCAUUAAUAGGGGGUUUAUGAGGUUCAGCUUCCCUCCUUAGUUGUUCAGGAGAUGAAAAAAUCAGGGAAGUCUGUGAUAGAGACUCAUCUUGAGCCCCACUUUGAACAACUUGACAUGGUGGUGGUUGGCUAGUCCCUUCUAUGGGCAGCCACAUCUACUCGCUUACCAAUACUUUUACUAUUUCUCGUAACCGGCAUAUUUGCUAUAGUAAAACAAUUUAGAAAUUAGAUAUGAUUCACCUAAAACAUAGGUUCUAUUGCACGAUCUAAGAAGUUAAAGAAAUGAGACAACUCCUACAUGUCCCACAUGUUUAUAGAUGUGGUGCACGACACAUCCAUAAGCAAGACUCUACACAGACACGACUUCAUAGACUCCCUAGGAUAUCCUGCUAUGAUACCACUUUUCUCACGCCUCAAAUCUCAUUAAGACGGAUAGGACCCCGAUGCCUUAAAGGCCCGGGAGAUCCAUGUUUAAUCUGUUCUUACUAUGCAUAUAACUGUAACAAUCGUGAUGAGUUCACAUAGGACGCAAUGAUCCCAGCCAACAUAUGUAGACUCAAAUGUUAUAUACAAGACUUGGUCAUUAAGGACACAAUUCCUUAAGAGACAACUCAACUAUGUACAUACGUCUACAAAGCCUCUAAGAAGAUAGAAUACCCAGAGUAGGUCCGGACAGACCUCGCCUUACCCUUAACUACGAUACAAUAUCAAAAACGAAUUUACAAAGGAAUCAGUAAAGCUCCGAAUCAACCUGGAGCUCACCAAAGGUUGCUUACUGUUGUGUGCUCCAACAAAGGAGGUCUACUAGGUGGAGUACUUGUGCCUGCAGCAUGAAAUUCACCGUGACGGACGUCAGUAAAAAAAUGUACUGAAUAUGUAAGGCAAAAACAUAUGUAAUACAAGGGCUCAACUGAAAUCAACUACCAACAUAUGAGUGCAUAGAUCAGGACAGAAGACCACCUUUAUUUACUCUUGUGAGAUCAUGUAAAUUACGCUCUUUCCUUUAUUUUUCUAUAUGUUAUAAUAUUUGUAGGGCAUGUGAUACAAGUGGCUAGCUGAUCAGUGGUAGAAGAGGAUGACCCAUUCUAGGCAUAUUAACCCUUGGGAUGCGGUCCUCAAAUUACACAAUUUCGGAUCGGCCCAUGCUAUGCUUUUGCCCCUGAGCUGCCACCCUUCUAUACCAAUAGGGAUCGACCCAUGCUAGGUUUUUGCUCCUGGUCUGCCACCCGUAAUAAUACAAAUUUCUUCACUUAGAUUCUUUAAUCUUUGAUAUUGUUUUUAUUAAUUCAAAACUCUUCUGGGAUUGGUCUUUGGAUACUCAUAACACUUUUGAGAUGUUGUUUUGGUGGUCAUAAUCAUAUUGGAGAUAUGGAAAUACGGACCAGUAGUAGAAGACAUGAAAAAUAAUACUUUGAAGCAGUAACAAUGACAUAAGGAGUUAUGUAACAUCAACACAUUACGUUAAGAGAUUAAUGACACAAUUUUGAAUUGUCUAGGAGAGGGAUUCACCAAACAUUCUUUUGCAAAUACCAUUUCUAUAAAAGCACAAGGGGGGACAAUUACACAAGAAUAGAGUAGUAAACAUAUAAUGAAGUAUUUCUAUAUAAUUCGGAUGGGGGGAUGGAUAUACUAGCUAUUUGGAGUCAGUACACUGCUAUUGUUUCUUUUACUAGGAAUAAAACUUAGGAGAUUCACUUCAUUGAUUUUAAAUACAGGUGUCAGAUUUCAUGCCAAGGAAUAUGGUAUUGAAUAACCUUACAUACUAUAUUUUCUGACCAAUACCACUAUCACGAUUCAGCCUUCCUUUUUGGGUGCUAAUCUACAACAUAAGUCAUGAUAGCAGCUAAUCACAUUAAGGUCCUCAAAAAUAGUUUCUAAAAUAUUUGACGGAAAGCAAGCCCAUACAACCCUUACACAACUGGUGAACCACCACAUUCCUCUACACAUUAAUACAACUUCAUACAUCCUCUCCCAAGAUACCUAAGCUGCCCUCAACAACAAUAUUAUAAGGCAACCAUUAUCAAUCUCAAAUCUUUCAACAUAACAGGGGAAUAUUGACUCAAGGAUUUAUCACAAUCCAUAACUUCUUGAUAAAUGGAUACAAAAUUCUCCACUCCAAACAUGUAUUAAAAGAGAGGAAAACAAAUGGGUUAUAGUCUUACCUUAAUUCUGGAAAUUUGUACUUUUAACUUGUACUUCAAGAAUUCAGACUCUCCUUCAAACUUUUACUUGAAAAUGAGACAAUACUCAAGAACCCUAAGGUGUGUUAGGGCCUAUUGUUGAAGCCAAGAGACCAAGAAAGAAACUUAAGGAAACUAAAAAUUUUGCAAGUUUUAAAUGGAGAAAAUGACUGGAUCUUUAUCCUUUGAAAGGGAGGUUCUAUGGCCGACUUUCUUGGCCAAUUUUGGGCCAUAUAUUGUCAAGUAGGUGACCCACCUACUUGGCCUUUUAACUUGGGCCUUUUUGGACUUUAUAUUAUUGGGCCUUGGCUGUCCAUUUUCCCUAUGUUCUUUUGUUCAACUUGGGACAGAUUAAUGCAAGUAAGUGAUACACAUUGGGCCAAUUACAUUGUAAAAAAAUUCCUAGUAAGUGAUGCACCUACUUAGUUUCACUUGAGCUUUAUCCAUAAUGGGCUAAUUGGCAGAUUUGGCUGCUGGGCUUUUUUUUAUUUAUUAAUUCAAUAGGUUUGGGCUUCAAGUGAGUCCAUUAAUAUAAGCCUAAAUUCAAACUUGGGCCCUUUAACUACAUUAUAGCUCAAGUAGGUGAUGCAGCUGCUAGCUCAAUUAAGACAAGCAAGAAGCUCAAAUAUUUUAUUUCAAUUUCUGAAUGUUAAUCCCUUUUCUUAAACCUAGCACUUAACUUUCACCUUUAGGCUCAAGUACCACCUUACUAUAUUUACUUAAAUACUUUCCGUCAGAUUUAACUUGCAAUACACAUGCUGAAACAUGAAAGAGAUUAGAUCACCUUGCAUGCUAGAUUAAAACAAUACUUAUCAUAUAAAAAACAUGAUCCCUCACCUACACUAUAAGUCUAUGUAAAGUAUAACAAGAAUAGAACUAGCAUAUAUAUAAUACAGACCGUUACAAUCAUCAGUGAAUUAUAUGGUCAAGAAAGGGGUUUAAUUUGUCAUUAUAUUAUUUUAUGAAACAUAUGUAUUGAAACUUCAUUCUAGACUUGUCUAUACAUGUUUUUGAUUAGUCUAUGGAUUGUGCAUAGUCUUUAUAAUGGCAACACUUACAAAUCUCCAAAUGAAAUUCCUAGGUUAACCAAACUAUAAGCUUCACCCAUCAUUCGAGGACAAAUGAUCAUAAGGAGGAAAGGAUGUAACACCCGAUAUUCUACGUGAACUAGUCCUAUGUAUAUGUCGCUUAAAAAUUUCCACGUUGUAUAGUUACGGACUCUGUUUCGUAUGUGAAUAGUGACAAUAGAAUAUGUUUGAAGUAGUAAUAAAUCGUUCCUUCCAACACACAUAGGAAUAAUUGAACAAAAAAAUUCACACUUGGGAUAGUAAAAGGUGGUAUUCGAUAUAAAAGUCAAAAUGGUCAAGUGUGUAUAUAGUACUACAGUCUUGUAAAGAAUUGAUGAUGGGGAAAAUGGUCCAAAAUAAUUAAGGUGCUUGCUUGACUAAAAUAUGCCAGUAGGUGACAAGUAGGGAUCACCUACUUAGAAUUAGUGGACUGCCUUUUAAGUGAAAAAGGGAAAGUAGGUGAUGCACCUACUUAGUAGUAGACUGAAUUUUAAGUUAAAAGGAGCAAGUAGGUGAUGCACCUACUUAGAAUUAGUGGACUUAAUUAUAAAGGAGCAAGUAGGUGAUACACCUACUCAGGGGAGAAAGCCUAGAAUUGGCCGAUCCCGAUUGGUAUGGAAGGGUGGCAGCUUCGGGGCAAAAGCCUAGCAUGGGCCGAUCCCAAUUGGUAUGGAAUGGUGGUAGCUCAGGGGCGAAAGACUAGCAUGGGCCGAUUCCAAUUUUUAGAAUUAUGAGGACAACAUCCCAGGGGUUAAAAUGUCUAGCAUGGGUCAUGAUCUUCUACCGCUGAUCAACUGUUCUUUGUAUCAUAUGUUCUAUAAAUAUUAUAAAGUACAGAAAAGUAAAGAAAAGAAUGUAACAUGCAUGAUUCCACAAGUACAAAGCAGAGGUUAUCUCUAAUACUUAUCUAUUAUAUUUUGUUUUCACUUGAUCUCUCAUGUAACAUAUGGUUAUAUUAUGCCUUACAUAUUCAAUACAUACUUUCGUGGUGACGUCCCUUAUUGGGGACGCUGCAUUUCAUGCUGGUGAGAUCCAGAUUGAUUCGGGGCUUUGCCGAGUCCUUAGGAUGCGUAUUUUCAUAUUGGUACAAUCAUGUAUUCCAAUAGACGCUUUGUAGACAUUGUGAAGUUAUCAUCUCUAUUCAUAGUUUCACUUGUCACAUAUAGCGGUUCAGCUAGUAAAAAUGUGUUGUGUAUGAAGCUUAAUCAUUAAGCUGCAUAGUAUUUUACUUUCUCAGCAUAGGGUUGGGGGCUGACCAAAGUGGUAUCAUAUUAGUUCGUCCUAGGGGGUCUACAAAGUCGUGUUCAGUAGACCCUUAGUUAUGAAUGUGUUGCGCGCCAUGUUUAUAACUAGGGGGCUUCUUGGACACUUAGGAAAUGUUACCUUCCUUCAUAAUCCUAUUCGUGCGAUAGAGCAAAGUUAAGAAUCCAAUUUCCAGUUGUACCGGAUCAUGCUAUAUAAACUAUUUUUAAGGUUAGUGGUUGUUAAUGUGUCAGCAUGUAACAUACAGAAAGGACCUUAAGUUACCAAAAGUUUGACUAGAUUGAGCUAAUUUUUUCCGUUCAUCUCACUCCACAAGGUAUGUUGGCUUUUAUGUUAUUUGCAUUAAAAUUUUCACGUUGGUUCAAAAAUGAUUUGUUACCUAGUUACAUAUAUUUGUUGUAGCAUUUCCAGAAACAUCUUCUUAGGAGGAUGUAACAAUCUCUUGAGUUCUGUACUUCCUCCAUGCUUAUAGGAUUUAUUCCUAUAGAGGAUAGUUGCUCUUAGUCUUUGAUAUACAUAAAAUUUUAAGUGUUACACAACUUCUCAAAAUUGAUGUAGUCAAACUAUUUUCAUUUAGUUCAAAGAAGAAGUGGCACAAUUUUAUAAGUGGAUCUAUCAUUGCAAUAGUUUUACUAUAAAUACCCCCAAUUGGAUGACAAAGGUUAUUCUCACCGUAUGUCCUCCCGAGUAUGUUAAUGAUAGGCCUUUAUAUGGUAUGGGCCAACAGCCCUGAAUAAGUACUUAUAACAGUUGUAUUCUUUUCAUUAUUAUAAAACUUAGGGAUAAGAGUCCCAAUUGCUUCAAAUGAUAUAUGUGUGGUGGUUCCUUUUAUGAUCUAUGUGUUGGCUAUAAUGAACUACUAUGUGCUUAAAGGGUAACGAUAACGAAAAUAAAAUUAACUGGUUACAACUAAGUUAUGAUUAGUUGGUUGAACAUAAUGGAAUCUAGUACAUGAAGCUGCUAGUUUUUAAAAAAAGUUACUUGUUAGAUAGGAAGCUUGUGAUAAUGAAGCUUAAAUUACACAGGCCGAAUAUAUACAGACAACUUCUCAUUAGAAAGAGAUGGAAUAUGUCAAAUUGCCUAAACAUAGGAGUAGGGGUGAUAUAAAGAUGCUAUAGAGGAGUGAGAUAGGAGGUUAUGAGAGACUGAUUGCUAAAGUGUAUGCGGUAAGAAAAUGUUAUCAACUCUUCAACGCUAACAUGUUAUAAUGGUGCACUUGGAACAAUUUUGUGAACAUUUGUCACACAUAGAGGUCAAUUUAGUAUCUAUUCAAGUUUUGAUAUUUAGUCUUGAUAGCAACAAGAAAAAAGGAGGUGAAUUUCAUGUUACCUAGAUAGAAGAUGAACCUACUUCAUCCACAUCAUUAGUAAAUAUAGAAGUAAAAAAAUAUACAUAUGUAUAGACUUCUAUCAAAUUGAAUAGAGAUAUUACCGGUUUCAUUUUAGAUAUGCCUACAGUAACUCAUCAGUCCUUGUCCAGUUAAGGGAAAUGAAAAAAAUUGAUCAUUUGCAUAUUUCUAGUUGUUCUUAUUUUCUAUCUUGCAUGGGAAAAGAGUCGGAGCACCCUCACUUGUUAUGAAAAAAGGUAAGAAAUCUUUUAGUAUGUCCAAACCUAUCUAGUUAAGCCCAAAUCGGCUUACUUUAAGACGUUAUGAAUCAUGAUAUAACUUUAUAGGUACCUGACAUUUACAUGUUAUUAGAGUUCAUAUUUCAUGGUGAGUUCAAGCUUCAUUAUUUAUUAUCUUUUUUGACCUUCAAGGGCAUCAGGCAUUGAGUGUGAUAUAACACAAGCUAGUCAUAAAGUCAAAAUAGACGUCGGCCUCCUACUCUAAAAGAUGAACUAUUUUUUUUGAUGAUUUUCUUUUUCUAUCUUGACCGUACUAUUUAUAUUGACCUAGACGGAAGCUCUGUUCCAAUAGCAGAACACUUAUUGGAGAGAGUACAUGGGAUAUCAAUUGUAUGUGUUUUGAGGUGAGCUAGGAAUAUGAGCAAAACUAUCCCACUUGUAACUUAAACCCUUAAGACAGUUUGUUUACCUUAGAAUGAUAGCGUGGUUCUAUAAUAUAUAUCGUAGUUUCCAAAGGUGAUUUUUUUAAUAUAAUUAUACAUGCUGCAUGUUCUAUAACUUAUCUAUUUGUAUGUCAUUUUCCAUUUGUGGUUUUCCUUUUCACAGGUUACCUAACGUCAUGGAAUGGCUACAUGCAAGAGUUGUCCGCUUCACAUCACCCUUGUUUAAUGAUGUUUUCAUAGGAACUUUUCCUUACAUGUUAUUUAUUGCACUGGUUACUUCCCACAUGCCACUUGUCCAUAUUGUACGGGUAAUGCAUGCUAAUUAAUCAUAUGACCAUUUCUACAUAUUUUGCAUACAAAGUUCCUACUUGCUCAAACACUUCAGGCUGUAUAGCUUUUCAGGCAAUGUCUUAUGUGCUGACUUACUCAUAUUUCAGAUUUGUGCUCAUUGACAUGUUAGUCUACUUAUCCAUGCAAUACAAUGCACUUGCUCAAUGUGAUUUAGGUUCUGUAGUUCAUUUUCUGAUAUGUCUACAUGUCAUAUCUACUACAUGUCUUAGCUUAUGUACUCAUGCAUUAUGUGAUCAUCUAGUCCAUUUGUACAUUCCCUAUAGUUCAUUCGCUCACACGAUACCCUAUAACUCAUAUGCACACGUACACCAUGUAUUUCUAUAGCUUAAUGAACGUAUACCUUGCGCUCUCCCUUUUGGGCUAGUCUACCUAUGUGCCAUGCCCAAUGUGACUUAUUCAUCCGUAUACUAUACCCCUCUCUAUGCUUAUUGAUUUCAGUUUUGAACAAUUUUGGAAUAUAUUUUCUUAUAUCAUCAUGUACUGAUAAUUUUGACCUGAAAAAGUUGGUCGUAUUUGUAAAUUUAAUCAACUAUAGAUAAAUAACUUAGCAUAAUACAAUAUUAGCAGGUGCGGCAUAAAACUUAGAUUUAUAUUUACAACUAUGCGUUCAUAAAGACUCCCCUCUGAAAAGCAUCAUGAAAUCAAAGAGAAAGGAAACUGUUGCCCCAAUAGCCUAUGAUUUUAUGUGUCCGUUCAUAUAUAAAAAAAUUGGGAGAAACUAUAGUUAUUCUUAAUUGUUAAGGCCCGGAAGCUAAGCUCAGAAUGUGUAACCAUAAGUAUUUGGGAAGGAAUAGAAUAUAACAUAAGAUACUUCAGAGUAGAACAUGGUAGAGAGAUACUAAGUAACCUCCCUCAUUCUAAACAUCAACAUAAGGAUCUAAGAUCAUGCGGUCCCCUUAUAUGAUCAUGAAUCCUACUAGAAUAUAUUCAUUUGUUGUGUCAUUUGCUGUGUCAUUUGUGUGUCUUGUAUUUAGGUAUAUUACAGUCCUUAUUUAUAUGAGUCCUACUUGUAUAUCUUUAGUGACUUACAUGGUAAAGAAG